UGGAGUCAGUGGGUACAAGUCU
rnacentral:miRNA from 1 species